GUCAGCGACUAGUCGGCACAUAUGAUAAUAAAUAUUAAUGGAUUACGAUUGGAGUGGGUCAUUGCGAAUUUUAUGUGUUGGAUAGCAUUUUCGUAAGCUUUGUCUCUUAAAUUAUAUACCGGGCGAAACUUUAAAAAUAGUUAUCAGACAUUAUUCUGUAAAUUGUAAUAUAGACCGGAGACCCUAGGAGAGUUGCAAAUGUAAAAAGUCAUGCUGAAAAUAAUAUCUAGGAUUUUUUAUUGUUUAAGAAGCAAGGUGUAAUUAAUAUUUUGUGAAUGUAAACAUGAAUAUUGUUAUAAGUAUUUUCAAUUGUUUCAACUAAUUAUACCUAUUAAUGCUCU